rfam:Myotis davidii contig152160, whole genome shotgun sequence.
UGAUGUCCCUCACCCACCCCUGAAGAUCCCAGGUGGCUGAGGGAAGACAUUGGUCC